UCCCUGGUAGUAUAUCGGUUAGUACACGCGCCUGUCAUGUCAUCGGCAUCCAGUUGGGGCACUUAACGCGCGAAAGCUGGGUUCGACUCCCAGCCAGGGAG